AGAGAGAGAGACAGAGAGAGAGACAGAGAGAGAGACAGAGAGAGAGACAGAGAGAGAGACAGAGAGAGAGACAGAGAGAGAGACAGAGAGAGAGACAGAGAGAGAGUCAGAGAGAGAACACAAUACCUUCCAGUGUGCAGGCUACCCUGUCUUCCAGUGUGCAGGCUACCCUGUCUUCCAGUGUGUAGGCUACACUGUCUUCCAGUAUGUAAGGCUACCCUGUCUUCCAGUGUGCACGCUACCCUGUCUUCCAGUGUGCAGGCUACCCUGUCUUCCAGUGUGCAGGCUACUCUGUCUUCCAGUGUGCAGGCUACCCUGUCUUCCAGUGUGCAGGCUACUCUGUCUUCCAGUGUGCAGGCUACCCUGUCUUCCAGUGUGCAGGCUACCCUGUCUUCCAGUGUGUAGGCUACCCUGUCUUCCAGUAUGUAAGGCUACCCUGUCUUCCAGUGUGCAGGCUACUCUGUCUUCCAGUGUGCAGGCUACCCUGUCUUGCAGUGUGCAGGCUACCCUGUCUUCCAGUGUGCAGGCUACCCUGUCUUCCAGUGUGCAGGCUACCCUGUCUUCCAGUGUGCAGGCUACCCUGUCUUCCAGAAUAAACUCUUCAUUCACUGAGUGUGACUGGUUUAUUCCUGUCCUGUCUACUAACACUGUGUUAGACAGGCAGCCCAAUUCUGAUUUUUUUUUUUGUUCACUAAUUGGUCUUUUGGCCAAUCAGAUCAGUUCUGAAAAUGAUCUGAUGUGAAAAGAUCUGAUGUGAUUGGUCAAAAGACCAAUUAGUAGAACAAAGAUCAGAAUUGGUCUGCCUGUGUGAGAGCAUCCAAUAACCAUUAGGUAUUCAAUCAAAAUCUGAGCGUUGAUGUCACAAUGGCAAAAAAAUAUGUAGAUAUUCUGUUUAUAUGGCAGAGACACAGGUUGUUUCCGACUAUAGACUACUAUAGACUACUAUAUACUACUAUAUACUACUAUAGACUACUAUAGACUACUAUAUACUACUACAGACUACUAUAGACUACUAUAUACUACUAUAUACUACUAUAGACUACUAUAGACUGCUAUAUAUAUAGACUACUAGACUACUAUAGACUACUAUAGACUACUAUAGGCUACUAUAGACUACUAUAGACUACUAUAGGCUACUAUAGACUACUAUAGACUACUAUAGACUACUAUAGGCUACUAUAGACUACUAUAGACUACUAUAUACUACUAUAGACUACUAUAGACUACUAUAGGCUACUAUAUACUACUAUAGACUACUAUAGACUACUAUAGGCUACUAUAUACUACUAUAGACUACUAUAGACUACUAUAGGCUACUAUAUACUACUAUAGACUACUAUAGACUACUAUAGGCUACUAUAGACUACUAUAUACUACUAUAGACUACUAUAGGCUACUAUAGACUACUAUAAACUACUAUAGACUACUAUAGGCUACUAUAGACCACUAUAGACUACUAUAUACUACUAUAGACUACUAUAGACUACUAUAGACUACUAUAGAAUACUAGAGACUACUAUAGACUACUAUAGACUACUAUAGACUACUAUAGACUACUAUAGACUACUAUAGACUACUAUAGACUACUAUAGACUACUACAGACUACUAUAGACUACUAUAGACUACUAUAGACUACUACAGACUACUAUAGACUACUACAGACUACUACAGACUACUACAGACUACUAUAGACUACUAUAGACUACUAUAGACUACUAUAGACUACUAUAGACUACUACAGACUACUAUAGACUAUUACAGACUACUAUAGACUACUAUAGACUACUACAGACUACUAUAGACUACUAUAGACUACUACAGACUACUAUAGACUACUACAGACUACUAUAGACUACUACAGACUACUACAGACUACUAUAGACUACUACAGACUACUAUAGACUACUACAGACUACUAUAGACUACUACAGACUACUACUGACUACUAUAGGCUACUAUAUAUAUAAAGCUUCUGUUUAUAUGGCAGAGACACGGG
ensembl:lncRNA